rnacentral:rRNA from 1 species
GAUGAACGCUGGCGGCGUGCCUAAUACAUGCAAGUCGAGCGAACAGACGAGGAGCUUGCUCCUCUGACGUUAGCGGCGGACGGGUGAGUAACACGUGGAUAACCUACCUAUAAGACUGGGAUAACUUCGGGAAACCGGAGCUAAUACCGGAUAAUAUCUUUAACCGCAUGGUUCAAUAGUGAAAGACGCUUUUGCUGUCACUUAUAGAUGGAUCCGCGCCGCAUUAGCUAGUUGGUAAGGUAACGGCUUACCAAGGCAACGAUGCGUAGCCGACCUGAGAGGGUGAUCGGCCACACUGGAACUGAGACACGGUCCAGACUCCUACGGGAGGCAGCAGUAGGGAAUCUUCCGCAAUGGGCGAAAGCCUGACGGAGCAACGCCGCGUGAGUGACGAAGGUCUUCGGAUCGUAAAACUCUGUUAUUAGGGAAGAACAAAUGUGUAAGUAACUAUGCACGUCUUGACGGUACCUAAUCAGAAAGCCACGGCUAACUACGUG